CCUACGUGUGGCAGCAGUGAGGAAUAUUGGUCAAUGGGCGUAAGCCUGCACCAGCCAAGUCGCGGGAGGGAUGAAGGAUCUAUGGUUCGUAAACCUCUUUUAUAAGGGAAUAAAGUGCGGAACGUGUUCUGUUUUGUAUGUACCUUAUGAAUAAGGAUCGGCUAACUCCGUGCCAGCAGCCGCGGUAAUACGGAGGAUCCGAGCGUUAUCCGGAUUUAUUGGGUUUAAAGGGUGCGUAGGUGGUUUAUUAAGUCAGCGGUGAAAGUUUGUGGCUCAACCAUAGAAUUGCCGUUGAAACUGGUUGACUUGAGUAUAUUUGAGGUAGGCGGAAUGCGUGGUGUAGCGGUGAAAUGCAUAGAUAUCACGCAGAACUCCGAUUGCGAAGGCAGCUUACUAAACUAUAACUGACGCUGAAGCACGAAAGCGUGGGGAUCAAACAGGAUUAGAUACCCGGGUAGUC
rnacentral:rRNA from 1 species